CACCUGACUUCUGGAAGGGAUGCAUUUAGUAGAUAAAAGGUCGACGCGGGCUUUGCUCGUUGCUCUGAUGAUUCAUGAUAACUCAACGGGUUGCACGGCCUUUGUGCCGGCGACGCAUCAUUCAAAUUUCUGCCCUAUGAACUUUUGAUGGUAAGAUAGUGGCCUACUAUGGUGGUGACGGGUGAUGGAGAAUUAGGGUUCGAUUCCUGAGAGGGAGCCUAAGAAACGGCUACCAUAUCCAAGGAAGACAGCAGGCGCGCAAAUUACCCAAUCCUGACACGAGGAGGUAGUGACAAUAAAUAACAAUACCGGGCUCUAUGAGUCUGGUAAUUGGAAUGAGUACAAUCUAAAUCCCUUAACGAGGAUCCAUAGGAGGGCAAGUCUGGUGCCAGCAAUCGCGGUAAUUCCAGCUCCAAUAGCGUAUAUUUAAGUUGUUGCAUUUAAAAAGCUUGUAGUUGGAUUUAAGGGUGGGUCGAUCAGUCCGCCUCACAGUGAGCACUGGUUUGCUCGUCCCUACUGUCGGUGAUGCUCUCCUGGCCUUAAUCGGCUGGGUCGUUCAUUCAGUGCUGUUACUUUGAAGAAAUUAGAGUGCUCAAAGCAGGCCUACAUUUGUAUACAUUAGCAUAGGAUAACAUCAUAGGAUUUUGAUCCUAUUGUGUUGGCCUUCAGGAUCAAAGUAAUGAUUAACAGGGACAGUUGGGGGCAUUUUUAUUUCAUAGUCAGAGGUGAAAUUCUUGGAUUUAUGAAAGAGGAACAACUGCGAAAGCAUUUUCCAAGGAUGUUUUCAUUAAUCAAGAAUGAAAGUUGGGGGCUCAAAG
rnacentral:ncRNA from 1 species